GCGUCAGUAGUGUAAACGGAAUAGAGCACGCGCUCCCGGGAAGAGCACGCGCUCCCGGAAAGAGCGAGGUGCGGGUUCUAGUCCCGCCUGACGCA